rnacentral:rRNA from 1 species
UUCGAGUGGCGGACGGGUGAGUAACGCGUGGGUAACCUGCCUUACACAGGGGGAUAACACCUGGAAACAGGUGCUAAUACCGCAUAACGGGAGAAGCCGCAUGGCUUUUUCCUGAAAACUCCGGUGGUACAGGAUGGGCCCGCGUCUGAUUAGCCAGUUGGCAGGGUAACGGCCUACCAAAGCGACGAUCAGUAGCCGGCCUGAGAGGGCGGACGGCCACACUGGGACUGAGACACGGCCCAGACUCCUACGGGAGGCAGCAG